CAGCCGCCGCGGGAAUACGAAGGGGGCUAGCGUUGCUCGGAAUGACUGGGCGUAAAGGGCGCGUAGGCGGAUUGUUUAGUUAGGCGUGAAAUUCCUGGGCUUAACCUGGGGACUGCGCUUAAUACAGGCAGUCUAGAGUGAGGAAGAGGGUUGUGGAAUUCCCAGUGUAGAGGUGAAAUUCGUGGAUAUUGGGAAGAACACCGGUGGCGAAGGCGGCAACCUGGUCCUUGACUGACGCUGAGACGCGAAAGCGUGGGGAGCAAACAGGAUUAGAUACCCCCGUAGUCCCUGUCUCUUAUAC
rnacentral:rRNA from 1 species